rnacentral:piRNA from 1 species
UGAUUCCCUGCCAUUUGAUAUUCCUC